rnacentral:tRNA from 1 species
GCCAACGUAGCUUAGCCCGGGAGAGCGCUAGACUGAAGAUCUAGUUGUCGAGAGUUCAAUUCUCUCCGUUGGCA